CUUUCCUCUCUUUCUCUCAUCGUAAAACCGUUCUUUGUUUUCUCUAUUUCUCUCGUCUCUUUCUUCUACCCAGAUCACUGAUUGAUUAGUCGUGAAUUUUACUCUACUCUUUCAUCAAUUUUACUGUGUUUAAUUCAUAAAACAAAACAAACGAUCGAUUUUUGUUUUUUUUUGGGGAUGAAGAUCAGAAGCAAAAGCAAAGGCUAUCGUCAAGAGAUCAAAUCAACUUGCACCGACUCCAACACUCUGUUCUCAAAAGAUGUGGUUGCAACUUCGGAGCUUUUUUCAUCUGUGAUAUCGUAGCGUGUGAAAGACGGAUAAUUCUACAGAGACAAUGCAUCAUCCCAUUCGGCUAGGUCAAUUUUCAUCUCUAUCUUGUUUAUAAUCUAUAAUCUUAUAGAUAGUUUAAUUACAAAAAAGGUUUUUAUACUAUUUUUGAUUUUUCAAAACAAAAUAUAUUUCUCAAAAAAAUUAUUUUUAAUGGUUUUCAACUCUCUCUUUUUUUUUCUUCUAUAAUACUAAAUUAAUAUGACGUUGUGAAAUCUAACCGGAUUUUGGAUCCCGCCAGUUAACCGUGGUCAUUAGCGAUUCCACAAAUCCAACAUGUUUUUCACAUCUUCAUAUAUAUUUAGCAUUUAUUUUUCUUAAAAAGUUUUCAAUUCUUUUUUUUUUUGUUUUAAAAUUUUAUA